rnacentral:rRNA from 1 species
AGUGAAUGCUGGCGGUAGGCCUAACACAUGCAAGUCGAACGGCAGCACAGUAAGAGCUUGCUCUUACGGGUGGCGAGUGGCGGACGGGUGAGGAAUACAUCGGAAUCUACUUUUUCGUGGGGGAUAAUGUAGGGAAACUUACGCUAAUACCGCAUACGACCUACGGGUGAAAGCAGGGGAUCUUCGGACCUUGCGCGAUUGAAUGAGCCGAUGUCGGAUUAGCUAGUUGGCGGGGUAAAGGCCCACCAAGGCGACGAUCCGUAGCUGGUCUGAGAGGAUGAUCAGCCACACUGGAACUGAGACACGGUCCAGACUCCUACGGGAGGCGGCAGUGGGGAAUAUUGGACAAUGGGCGCAAGCCUGAUCCAGCCAUACCGCGUGGGUGAAGAAGGCCUUCGGGUUGUAAAGCCCUUUUGUUGGGAAAGAAAAGCAGCAGGUUAAUACCCCGCUGUUCUGACGGUACCCAAAGAAUAAGCACCGGCUAACUUCGUG